rnacentral:rRNA from 1 species
UUAUCUCUGUAGAGUCUGCAUAUCAAUAAGCGGAGGAAAAGAAACUAACAAGGAUUCCCUUAGUAACGGCGAGUGAAGCGGGAAGAGCUCAAAUUUGAAAUCUUCAAGGUUUUACCUUGACGAAUUGUAGUUUAAAGAAGUGUUUUCUGUUGAAGUUUCGGUAAAAGUUCUUUGGAAUAGGACAUCAUAGAGGGUGAGAAUCCCGUAUUUGACCAGUUAUUUUCCAGCUGUGUGAUACACUUUCAAAGAGUCGGAUUGUUUGGGAAUGCAGUCCAAAAUGGGUGGUAAAUUUCAUCUAAAGCUAAAUACUGGCGAGAGACCGAUAGCGAACAAGUACCGUGAGGGAAAGAUGAAAAGAACUCUGAAAAGAGAGUUAAACAGUACGUGAAAUUGUCAAAAGGGAAGCGUUUGACACCAGUGUUGUUUUCUCGAAAAUCAAUUAAAAAUGGCUGAUUUUGUGUUGUAUUGACUUUAUCAAGCUUUCUUCACUCUUUUCAUUGUCUUUUUUAAUGCACUUUUCGUUUAACAAGUCAACAUCAGUUUCUUUUGUUGUAAAAGGUCAUUGGAAGGUGGCUUUCUUUUCGGAGAAAGUGUUUAUAGCCUUUGCCUCUGCAAUCGGAGAGAUUGAGGUCUACAGCGUAGAUCCUUCUGGAUUAGUUACAUUUGUGCUAAGUUAUAACCGUUUCAUAGACAACUUGUUGACUAUAUCGAUCAUGUAGCUUACUCGCUUAUGCUAAUUUUACCUACGCUUAGGAUGUUGAUAUGCAUGACUGAUAU